GCUGGGCACGGUGGUGCGUGCCUGUAAUCCCAGCUGCUCGGGAGGCUGAGGCAGGAGAAUUGCCUGAACCCAGGGGGCGGAGGUUGCGGUGAGCCGAGAUCGCGCCAUUGCACUCCAGCCUGGGUAGCAAGAGCGAAACUCCGUCUCAAAAAAUAAAAGAAAAAAAGGAGAUGGAGUCUUGCUCUGUUUUCAAGGCUGGAGUGCAGUGGCAUGAUGUUGGCCACUGCAACCUCCACCUCCUGGGUUCAAGUGAUCCACUUGCCUCAG
rnacentral:sRNA from 1 species